GUAGGGGGCAAGCGUUGUCCGGAUUCAUUGGGCGUAAAGCGCGUGUAGGCGGUUCAAUAGGUCCGAUGUGAAAACUCGAGGCUCAACUUCGAGAGGCCAUCGGAAACCAUUGGACUAGAGUCCGGAAGAGGAGAGUGGAAUUCCUGGUGUAGCGGUGAAAUGCGCAGAUAUCAGGAGGAACACCGAUGGCGAAGGCAGCUCUCUGGGACGGUACUGACGCUGAGACGCGAAAGCGUGGGGGGAGCGAACAGGAUUAGAUACCCUGGUAGUCCACGCCGUAAACGAUGGGCACUAGGUGUGGGUGGUGUCGACUCCAUCCGUGCCGCAGCUAACGCAUUAAGUGCCCCCCGCCUGGGAGUACGGCCGCAAGGCUA
rnacentral:rRNA from 1 species